ACGUGCUAGGUGGGGAGUUAGCGGUGCCCUGAACCCGGAAUCCGCUAUACCGGGGCUGAAUUCCCACUCGAGGCCUGUAACCCUCAAGCAGACACUGGCUGGAGGUGUUGAUCGGACGGGCCUUGCGCAACGGAUGCCCGCCGAACCCCGUCAGGACCGGAAGGUAGCAGCGGUAAGUGGAAACACCGUGUGAUGCAAGAAUACCUGACUGUGAGCUUUCCACCGGUGGUUGCUUUUUGGCAAAGGGUCAACGGUGGGUGCACGU
rfam:Candidate division Zixibacteria bacterium 4484_95 ex4484_95_scaffold_9263, whole genome shotgun sequence.